rnacentral:rRNA from 1 species
GGGCUAUUAACCAUCAGCUUUUCUUCCCAAUUGAAAGUGCUUUACAACCCUAAGGCCUUCUUCACACACGCGGCAUGGCUGCGUCAGGCUUUCGCCCAUUGCGCAAUAUUCCCCA